GGAGGGAUGGCCGAGUUGGUCGAAGGCGGCGGUCUUGAAAACCGCAGACCCUUAACGGGGUCCGGGAGUUCGAAUCUCUCUCCCUCCGCCA
rnacentral:tRNA from 1 species